UUUAAUUACCACACUCAAGUUAUGAUUUUGUAAAACAAUAACAUUUUGCUUGUCUGAAAGCUGAGUAUUUAUUAUUCUCCAACUGUCAAAUAUUAGUCUGAGUACAAGCAACAGCCCUUGGAUUUCUCUCAAUAGGCUUGGGUGAUCUUUUGCUAGCAACAGGCAAGGGGACACACGUGCAGAGCAAAUAAUCUCUGUUUUUUACACUUUUCACAGAGUUUUUUUAAUCUGUCCAUUCUAGGGCUUCAAUCUGAGCUCUCUUUUAAGUUCCUUCUCUCCUGGACCUUUCUGGACAGCAAAGGACACCUGGGGAUCCACCAGCACCGGGAAACUGCUCUUGAUUUUCCCAGGGAUAGCUUGUGACUCAAAUGCUGCUGCAUCCUGCCUUUGCUGAAACUCCAGUGUGUGUCCAUGUCCCACCUUUCCUGGAUUGUCCACAAGAAAACCAGCUUACAGAAAGAAAGAAGUAAAUCUUUAAAGACUCAAAACUGAAUUCACUGUCAGCUGUCUGUGUGUAUCUCUCAAACUUGUAUCAGAGACUGGGAAAUUUAUAGCAGCAGCUCUGAUUAGAUGGAAUGAAAUAAUGCCACAGAGAUGGAGGUGAGUACUGAAAAUCUUUACCAGGUGUAGA
rnacentral:lncRNA from 1 species